rnacentral:lncRNA from 10 species
UACUGAAGCAGGCUUCAAACUAGUGUGUCUAGAAAUGGGAUAUCUUCACCUGGGAUGGGGUAGUUGCCCUUGAGCCACAUGACCCAGGCAUAAUUACAGAUUUUCAGGAGUGGAAGAGACUUGAGAUGCUAUCUGACCAAACCUUCUGUUUUUACAGACGAAGAAACUAAAGCCAACAUGUGAAGUAAGAACCUGUCAAGGGUCAUAUUAGGUCACAUCAGGUCAUAUCCUAACAUGUGUUGGCAUCCUUUCCCCCUGUGCUGUCUGAUAUGCCUGGGAGACGCCCUCCGUCCUGCUUCCCACUAGGGCUACACUGGUCAAACGGUGUAAACUUUGCUGGAAGGAACCUUACUCAGAGGGCCAAUCACCUGCUUCUCUAGAGUUCUCAAGCUCUCCUGUGAGCACCAGGUUGAGCUGCAGAAAGCCAGAACCAGCUCAGAAACUGAGAAAUGGACAUGAAGAUGCCCAGGUCUGCAGAUGGUUUCCAUUCUGAAAAGUGAUAGUCCCAAGGGGGACUGGCAUGCAGUCAUUCAUUCAACAAUUGUGCUCCUACUCUGUGAAGUAUUGGGGAUACAGUGCUGAGCACAGACAGACCUAGUCUCUGUCCUUUGCACCUUUCAGUGAAGGAUAGGAGGUAGACAUUGAUGCAACAAGCACCCGAGUAAAUGUAAGACCAUGCAGUGAUAAAGGCCGUGGAGGAAGGGCCCAUGCAGGGGCAGAAAACAGAGGAAGGGGCUGGUGGAGCAGCUCCUCUAGCUCAAGGCUGAGUGGUAUAAACUGUAGCUACUGCAUGAUCUGAACGUGUCUUAAGGAGGGUAUCCCCAAAGCGGGCUCAUUGGGAGUUACUGUGGAGCGCUAGUUUAUUGUAAUUGCCAUAUGUUUAUAAGUAAUGGAAUCCUAGAAUUAGAAGGAACUUCGGUCACCUUUUAAUUUAAUAUUUAUCUUUCUCAAUCCAGGAAACAUCUCUACAGCAUCCCUAACUGGGGGUUGAUCCAUUCAUUUCCAGACACAGAGAACAGAGUCACAUUCUGCUGUUUCCAUAUGUACCAUUUUAGUAAGACUUCUUGGGGCACAAGGCAGGAAGUUGGGGACAAUAUAUUUGUCUGCACCAAGGCAGCCUGAGAAGAGAGAAGUGAAUACUCCUGGGGUUAUUCUAUAUUAUUCACUUAAUAUUCUAAGUGAGUCCUCUAGGGGUACCUGAGACAUGGAGUAUGAAAGUACACAUUCACAAAAGUACCAGCUUUAAAACUAGAUUAUCUCUACUAUUCAAAAACACCAAGGAAAGGCCACACAAUGGAGACAAAGUGCAUCUGAGAUCUAGCAAAUUUCCCUGUUGGCCACAUACUGAUAAUGAUGUAUUAAAAUCAAUUCUAUACUGUGGGGUACUUAUUUGACAUUAAUAGGUACCAUGGUGGUUUAACAUAGUUGCUGCCCAGAGAAAACGCCGCACACUCACCUACACUAAAAUGAAGUCUGAGUCAGCUGCCUCCCCUCCGCCAUCCCUUCCAAAGCCAAUGGUUGAAAGUCACAGAAGUCCCUCUGCUGCCACCUAGUGACGACAAUGUGAAUACAACUACACAGCCUCCUGGGAAAGAAGUUUUGAACCACGUUUGCUUCUAAAGGAAGCCUGUAAUUACCUCUGAGUGCUCUAUUUUGGCUACAAUUUAAAAACAUAUAUAUUUUAAAACUCUAUAAACUCUUAUGCAUAUCCCUUUUUAAGAAUCUGACCUGUAAUGGAUGUAGCCUCACUUUCAAGAACCUAAAAGCUAUGCCCCCAAUUCAGGGAGUAGAACAGACAGGCUUAAGAACAGUGCCUAAAAAUGCCACUAAAUUUAUCUUUAAAAUGCCUGUGGUUCCUUAGCACUUGAAUUCCGUUAUGCCCCUGGGUAUAGUCACCUGGAUGUUAGGGGCUGUCAAAAUUCAGCCCUCAGUUGGUGAUCAGUAGGUUUUCCCUUUAAGUGGUUUCUGAAAGGAUUUUUUUUAAAAAUCUUGAAAUUCUCAUGUCUGGAUGAUGUUUCCAGUUUUGUGGAAGAAUAAAAGAAAAGGGACAUGAAAUUCUGGCUCCCUGGGGGCAGUGGCUGUGUCUUAUUAAUCUCUGUGCCCAUUGUACCAACACCGGUCAGUCACAGCAUGUACUCAACCAAUGCUGAUGAAUGCAGAGGGGCGAGGGGCUGGCACGCUCUUGACCCCUUAUAGGGGCUGCGUCGAUGGCCAGGGUUCAAUGGGAACUUUCUGGUACAGUCUUGCUCUGCCAAUCUUUCAAAUUAAGUGCAGCACAAUUGGAAGCCUCACAUUCUCAUAGACGGGUUGAGGAGGGCAUUAGGGGCAGAAAGGCUCACAUAAGGCCUGAGCGUGAGGUUUCCUGCCCAGCACUGCUGUGCCAUUGCAGCCCACCUUCUUCUCACCUUUCCUUCCACACCACGGCGCGGCAGGUGCAGAAACCGUGCUGGGAUUGAGGCCCUAGAGGCUGACUACAGGUCUUGGGGGCAAAACAUCUGGACACACAGCUGAAGAUGAGCCAAGUAUAUUAGUCAGGGUUCUCUAGAGAAACAGAACCAACAAGAUAGAGAGAUGCAGAGAGACAGAGGGACAGACAGACAGAUUUAAGUAACUGACCCAUAAAAUCUUGGAGGCUUGGCAAGUCCAAAAUCUGCAAGAUGGAAGUGGGCUGGCACAUUGGAGACUCAAGGAAGAGUUGCACGUUGAGUUCAAAGGCCGGCUGCUGGCAGAAUUCCUUUCUGCUCAGGUGAAGUCGGUCUCUGUUCUAUUAAGACCUUCAACUGAUUGGAUGAGGUCCACCCAUAUUAUGAAGGGUCAUUUGCUUUACUCAACAUCUACUCAUCUAAAUAUUAAUCUCAUUGAAAAAAAACCCCAGAAACAUCCAGAAUAGCAUUUGACCAAAUGUUUGGACAAUGCAGCCUAGCCACAUUAACACACAAAAUUAACUGUCACAGCAAGACACCAGGGAAGCAUUGGAAGAUGUUAGCGGCUGUCAUUGAAAUGGGUGCCGUCAGGUGGACGGCAGCCAUCCAUCGGGCAAGAGCGGGGCAGCUGGAAGGGCCCUCCCCUCCCGUUUGCUUUCUGCUCUUCACAGCUCACGGAUAGAGGAAUUUUCUCAGCACAUUUCCCAGGAGGAGUUUGGCACCACCAUUUCUUGAAAACAGAUGUCUGCAGGGAUGUGUGUGUGCCUGUGAAUAUGAAGUCCAGAGCCUGGGACUGAGAACAGCAAGGGGAACAGGUGGCCACAGGGGAGUUGCCAGAUUGCUGACUUAAGAUGUGCUCCCAGGGCUGCACUGGUGUCGGUCGUGAGAGCGAUCACGGUUUGUGCAACGUCUGAACUUUCUAUCAACUUAUGGUUUAAUCAAUUUGCUGUUUACUCCAGCUAUUUGCAACCUCUCCUCAGUUACUUGGUGUUCAGCAGUGUAAUAUAUCUUCAUGUGUGAAUAUAAAUAUACUAUUUAGUGGAAACUAAAAGGAAUUGUGGAGGAAGAAUUUUUUUGGAUAAUUUUAUGUUUUCAUAAUGUAAAAAUUAAAGAUAUUUGAAGAGUUGAGUAUGUCAGUUUUGGGGAUGCAAGAGAAUGACUUCGGGACUACCAUAAUAUUUAAAAUCAUCACUACUCUUUCUUUCCACCUAAGUCUCAUAGCAAAAGAGGAAAUUUACUUCAGUCUCUUUCUGUAGCAGAACAUUAUCGUGCUGUAUUCCUGUGUUCACUUAUCUGCGCUGGAUUGUGAGUCCUUACAGAGAGAAAUUGUUAUGUGCUAUGUUCCCAACACCUGCACAUUAUAGGUGGUCACUAAGUGCUUGAUGAAUAAAUGAAUGAGGGAAUAAUAUUGUUUAUUAUUUUUUGCUGUUAUUUAUAAUUGGGAGUGGGUAGGAUUUGGAUUAUGAAGACUCUGGGAAGCCUCAUAAGAACCUCAGACUCACUGGGCACGGUGGCUCACACCUGUAAUCCCAGCACUUUGGGAGGCCGAGGCAGGCGGAUCACGAGGUCGGGAGAUCGAGACCAUCCUGGCUAACACGGUGAAACCCGGUCUCCACUAAAAAUACAAAAAACUAGCCAGGUGUGGUGGCGGGCGCCUGUAGUCCCAGCUACUCCAGAGGCUGAGGCAGGAGAAUGGCCGUGAACCCAGGAGGCGGAGGUUGCAAUGAGCCGAGAUCGCACCACUGCACUCCAGCCUGGGCGACAGAGCAAGACUCCAUCUCAAAAAGAAAAACCUCAGACCAGACUCAACGUGUCCAAAAAAGAGCUCACCUUGUACCCCUAGAUCCUGAAGCGGCUUCCAGUAGCUCAACCUCCUCCCAUCCAGUUCCAUCUCUGCCAGGGAUCUUUUAAAAAUGCAAAUCUCAUUAUGUCUCUUUCCUGCCUCAAACCUCCCAGUGGUUCUCCAGUCUGUCAGGAGAGGGUAUAGACUGUGGCCUGGCCCGGGAAGUUCUUUGAGGUCAACCCCUGCCUACUCAUCUUGCUAACUCUUAUGGCUCUCUGACACUAGGCUUUUGCUCCAAUCAUAUAAGCAACUGUAUUUCCAUAAAAUUGCAAUGUUCUUCCCUACCUCCUCACUUAACUAAUUUUCACUUUACUGAUCAUUUCUUAUUUUACUAUCAGCGUCUCUUUCUCCUUAUUCUUCAGGGAACAUUUCUCUCCACCAUCCUGUGCCACACUGUGGGGGUGUCAGUAACACCCUCUGUCCUCUCCUGGCCAAAGGAAAGGGGUGUCAUUCAGCCCAGGCCCCUGGAUCCUCAUCUUGGGAUUUGGAAAUGUGACCGAAGUGACAUAAAAAAAAGACAUGAAGUGCGAGGAGCUCAUUCAGUCAGCUCUGCAGCUCCAGCUGGGUUACCUGUGAGUCCUUGCUAGCCAGAUCCCUUGAUUUGCCGUGACUCCUGCCUUUGCCAAGUCUGUCUUCAUAGAUUCUUUCAAAUGUGGUUCCAUCUUGCCUGAGUUCGUCAGAGCCAGAUUCUGUGCUGUAAUAAAAAACCCCAAAUCAACUCACCUCUCACCCUCCACAAUGCAGCUUCUGGAAGAUUCCAGAUGCCCCAGCCUGACUGAGAAUUCUCUCUCCUCUGCUCUCAAAGUCCCUUUGGGUGCUUCUACCAAAGCACUGACAGCGUGAUUCUGAUUUGAUCGCUGGUGUCUGAGAGCUGUGAACGUCUUGAUGGUUUUGGCGCCCAGCACCAUUCCUGCCUCAUAAUUGGCACGUGAUAAAGGCUUGUCGCAUUCCCUCAUUCAAAAUAAACAUAGAAGACAAUCCAGAGAUUGCAGCUUCACAGAAAUCACAGAAGGAAAUUUAUAUUUAUAGAGACGGCAUAUAAAAUUUUAAAACAAUUUUAAUGAAAAUCUUGAAAAUAGACAUUCUCUUCUUUAAACAACAUAAACUGAACAAACUCAGUCUGUUUUGGUGCCUCUGUGAGUACCCUCGGUUGCUCUGGGCUGCUGUGCGAUGCUGACCGGGACUUCCUCAGAGGCCUCAUCUUCUGCAUCCAGUGGACUUGCAAGCCACUUUACACUUCCUGGGUGAUAAGGUUUGGAUUUGUGUCCCCGCCCAAAUCUCACGUGGAAUGUCAUUCCUAAUGUUGGAAGAGGGGCCUGGUGGGAGGUGAUUGGAUCAUGGGGGCAGAAUUCCCUCUUGCAGUUCUCUUGGUAGUGAGUUCUCACAAGAUCUGGUUGUUUAAAAGUAUGUAGCACCUCCUGCUUUCGCUGUCUUCCUCCUGCUCCCGCCAUGUAAGACGUGGCCUCCUUUCCCUUCGCCUUCCGCCAUGAUUGAAAGUCUUCAGAGGCCUCCCCAG